rnacentral:rRNA from 1 species
AUGCAAAUGGUCUCUUGCGGUCGCACGGCGGUUAACAUCAACGGCGAGGUUGGCCCCUUCUUCCCUACCCUUUGUGGGGUUCGCCAGGGCGACCCCUUCUUCCCGUUCCUCUUCAAUAUGGUGGUGGACGCCCUGGCUACCAUUCUUGAUAAGGCCAAGGCUGCUGGCCACAUUCGUGGGAUUACCCCACAUCUCUCUGGGGGAUCCGGGAUUUCCAUCCUUCAGUAUGCUGACGACACGAUCAUCAUGGUCGAAGGCUCGGAGAUGGACAUGCCAAUCUCAAGUUCCUCCUUCUAUGCUUCCAACAGAUGUCGGGUCUCAAGAUCAACUUUGAUAAAAGCGACGUCAUGGUAA